CAGCUGUCUCUAUNNNANUUNAUUUUUAAUUUAACUUUNAAGUNAAAAGGCUUANAUUUUUUUUAAAGACGAGAAGACCCUAUAGAGUUUCACAUUUCUUAUUUUAUUUUCUUUUUGGUAUUUAAUGGUUUUUAAUUUUUGAUUUGUUUGGUUGGGGUGACCAGAAGAUUUAAUAAACUCUUCUAUUAAAAUCAAUGAUUUUUGAAUUGAUAAUCUAGUUUUUCUAAAUUUAAGAUAAAUUACCUUAGGGAUAACAGCGUAAUUUCUUUUUAGAGUUCUUAUUGAAAGAGAAGUUUGCGACCUCNAUGUUGAUUUAAAUUGCCGCGGUAUG
rnacentral:rRNA from 1 species